rnacentral:rRNA from 1 species
UACGGAGGAUGCGAGCGUUAUCCGGAUUUAUUGGGUUUAAAGGGUGCGCAGGCGGCCUGUUAAGUCAGCGGUGAAAUACCGGGGCUCAACCCCGGGGCUGCCGUUGAAACCGGAGCGCUAGAAUUCCGAUGCCGUCGGAGGAAUGUGUGGUGUAGCGGUGAAAUGCUUAGAUAUUACUCAGAACACCGAUUGCGCAGGCAGCUUGCUAAUCCGCAUCUGACGCUGAUGCACGAAAGCGUGGGUAGCGAACAGG